ensembl:lncRNA
GGGGGAGUGGGAUUUGGAGGGGGAGGAGUGAGUGCAGCCCCGGGACAGGAAAGGAACCCUGUGCGGCCAUAACCCACCUCCGUGUGGGGUGUGUGGUUGGGAAAUGGAUGUGGGAUUGGGGUUCGGAUGUGGGGUAUGGAAUUAUGGCUGUGGGAUUGGGAUGGGGAUUAUGGUGUGGGAUUGGAAGGUGGUGUAUAGGAUUGGGGGUGUGGGGUUGUGGUUGGGAUAAGGUCUGGGAUAUGGGAUUAGGGGUAUGGGAUUGGUAUGUGGGAUGUGGGAUUGGGAUGUGGGAUAUAGGAUUGGGGGUGUGGGAUUGGGGUUUGCAUUGGGAUGGGGGCUGUGGGGUGUAGGGUUGAGGUGUAGGGUUGGGGUGUAGGGUUGGGGAUUUGGGAUUUGCUUUGGGAUGGGGGCUGUGGGGCCUGGAUGUGGGCUAUUGGGUUGGGAUGUUGGGUUGGGAUUUAGGUUAGGAUGUGGGAUAUAGGAUUAGGGGUGUGGGACCGGGGUUUGCAUUGGGAUGUGGGCUGUGGGGCUGGGGUUGGUGCUGGGUUUGAGGUUGGGGUUGGCAUAUAGGAUUAGAGGUGUGGGAUUGGGAUUUGCAUUGGGCUGUGGGGCUGGGAUGUGGGGUUGGGAUUGAGGUCAGGAUGUGGGAUGUAAAGAAAUGUGCCCUGUUCACAGGUGGGUCGUGUGGUGUUGUGGGGAAGCACUGCAGAUGGAAAGCUGCUGUGUGGAGCCCCACAGGACGAGUUGCAGAGGCCCCUGAAGGAAAAGGAGAAGGAAGGGCAUUUGCAGAGGGAAAGGCUGUCCCGCUGGCCUUAGGUGUUGCUGAACGGGAGGGGUGGCCAAUGCUUUCUCUUUCUGCUGACUCACGGAUGGUGGCAAACGCCUUCUGGGGGUGGUUCCAGCAGUGGGAAGAAAACAACUGGCAGCGGAGGGGUAAACCUCUUUGGGCUGCUGAGCUGUGUGCUGAACCAUAAGGAAGGUGGCUGUAAAGGUGUGCCGUGCAGAUGUCGUGUGCCCAGCAGUCGGGCCGAUGAAGAGCAACAAAUGAAGCGCCAGUCUCUCUCGUCGUGUAGAUCUGAGGAUGACCAAAGCCUGUCGCCCCAAGCAUUGCUGAACCCAUCAAAAUGGUUGCUCAGAG